CCCACCCCUAGAGGUGCUGCAGCUGUGGCUGCUGUUUCAUCACAUGUGUGGCAGUAGGUGGCAAAGAAGGAAAGACACUGUGUCUAUGCUCAGUGUUCUGACCUAUGAACACCUGAAUGAUUAGUAGCCUGAAAUU